AAGGCAUUCACCCCUAUAUCAGUGUAAGAUAAGGUUUAUACCCCUGCCCCUAUGUGUAACAUAAGGCAUUCACUCCUAUAUCAGUGUGAGAUAAGGUUUAUACCCCUGCCCCUAUGUGGUAACAUAAGGCAUUCAUGCCUAUAUCACUGUAAGAUAAGGUUUAUACUGCUGCCCUUAUGUGUAACAUAAGGCAUUCACCCCUAUAUCAGUGUAAGAUAAGGUUUAUACCCCUGCCCCUAUGUGUAACAUAAGGUGUUCACCCCUAUAUCAGUGUAAGAUAAGGUUUAUACCCCUACCCCUAUAAUAACAUAAGGCGUUCACCCCUAUAUCAGUGUAAGAUAAGGUUUAUACCCCUGCUCCUAUGUGUAACAUAAGGCAUUCACCCCUAUAUCACUGUAAGAUAAGGUUUAUACCCCUGCCCCUAUGUGUAACAUAAGGCAUUCACCCCUUUAUCACUGUAAGAUAAGGUUGAUACCCCUGCCCCUAUGUGUAACAUAAGGUGUUCACCCCUAUAUCAGUGUAAAAUAAGGUUUAUACCCUCGCCCCCCUCGAGAGAAUUUGCCCUGGGCAAAUCUUCCCUGUGGGCCUGAUGACAUCAUUAUUUUUAAGCUAGACCCAACUAGAC
rnacentral:lncRNA from 1 species